rnacentral:rRNA from 1 species
GUCCACGCCGUAAACGAUGUCUACUAGCCGUUGGGUGACUUGAUUACCCAGUGGCGCAGCUAACGCAGUAAGUAGACCGCCUGGGGAGUACGGCCGCAAGGUUAAAACUCAAAUGAAUUGACGGGGCCGGCACAAGCGGUGGAGCAUGUGGUUUAAUUCGAUGCAACGCGAAGAACCUUACCAGGUCUUGACAUCCUGCGAAGUUACCAGAGAUGGUUUCGUGCCUUCGGUAGCGCAGUGACAGGUGCUGCAUGGCUGUCGU